rnacentral:rRNA from 1 species
GACGAACGCUGGCGGCGUGCCUAAUACAUGCAAGUUGAGCGAUGAAGAUUGGUGCUUGCACCAAUUUGAAGAGCAGCGAACGGGUGAGUAACGCGUGGGGAAUCUGCCUUUGAGCGGGGGACAACAUUUGGAAACGAAUGCUAAUACCGCAUAACAACUUUAAACAUAAGUUUUAAGUUUGAAAGAUGCAAUUGCAUCACUCAAAGAUGAUCCCGCGUUGUAUUAGCUAGUUGGUGAGGUAAAGGCUCACCAAGGCGAUGAUACAUAGCCGACCUGAGAGGGUGAGCGGCCACAUUGGGACUGAGACACGGCCCAAACGCCUACGGGAGGCAGCAGUAGGGAAUCUUCGGCAAUGGACGAAAGUCUGACCGAGCAACGCCGCGGGAGUGAAGAAGGUUGUCGGAUCGUAAAACUCUGUUGGUAGAGAAGAACGUUGGUGAGAGUGGAAAGCUCAUCAAGUGACGGUAACUACCCAGAAAGGGACGGCUAACUACGUG